AUUUAUAUAGUAUAAAAGUAUAUUUGACUUCCAAUCAAAAGGUUUAUUAAAUAAUAAUAUAAAUA
rnacentral:tRNA from 1 species